rnacentral:rRNA from 1 species
UACGAAGGGAGCUAGCGUUGUUCGGAAUCACUGGGCGUAAAGCGCACGUAGGCGGAUGUGUCAGUCAGGGGUGAAAUCCCGGAGCUCAACUUCGGAACUGCCUUUGAUACAGCACAUCUGGAGUCCGGAAGAGGUGGGUGGAAUUCCUAGUGUAAGAGGUGAAAUUCGUAGAUAUUAGGAAGAACACCGGUGGCGAAGGCGGCCCACUGGUCCGGUACUGACGCUGAGGUGCGAAAGCGUGGGGAGCAAACAGG